rnacentral:lncRNA from 1 species
GAAUGGGAUCAAAAGUAACCUUCUUUCUUUCAAAAUUAUUCUGCUGACUGUUAUUGUAGUUAUGAUUGUUGUGGGUACAUUAUUAUUGUUGUUGUUGUUGCUACUGAAUUGGUACUGAUUGAAUUGCUGAAUUAUUGGUAAAUACCGGAAUAACUGAUGAUACUUGAUGGUGAUGCUGUUGGGAUCUAGAAUUUUUCCUCACAUGAGGCCUCUUAUGCCUCCCCACAGAUACUGAUUUGGUUUCCCCUUCCUUCUACUUAGAGAAACUCCC